rnacentral:rRNA from 1 species
UACAGAGGGUGCGAGCGUUGUUCGGAAUUAUUGGGCGUAAAGGGCGCGUAGGCGGCGCCACAAGUCACUUGUGAAAACUCUGGGCUCAACUCAGAGCCUGCAAGCGAAACUGUGGUGCUGGAGUAUGGGAGAGGUGCGUGGAAUUCCCGGUGUAGUGGUGAAAUGCGUAGAGAUCGGGAGGAACACCUGUGGCGAAGGCGGCACUCUGGGCCGGUACUGACGCUGAGGAGCGAAAGCGUGGGGAGCAAACAGG